GCUUUCUUCUCUCCCGUAACUUCAUUUUUCAGAAACCCUAAAUACCAAACAUUCUUCUCCUUCACGCUACAGAUCCCAAUAUUCAUCCUUCUCCUUCUUCAACUUCUUUGAUCCAUCUGGUGGUUGAUUCUAUCAACAAACCCUAAUCGCCAAAGUUACUUUGCUGAUCCGUUGAUAAUAUUCGAAACCCUAAGAUUGACCGUGUUUGUUGUGUGAUUCAACAGUUGGAUUUGUUUCCAUCGAUCUUCAGCAGCCUAAGAUUGACAUGUGUGGGAGAAGGAUGUCACAUAGAAAGUUUGGGUACCCUAGCCAUGGUCCCGUGGAUUUCCUUCCAAGAAGUGUACUGCUCACCAUAGAGAAAAAGUUGAUUUGAGAAACGAAAAUGGUAUUGAAAAUCUUUGUUUGAAUGUUAAAGGAAUAAAGAGGGAAUCAAGUAGAAUCUUCAUCAAAUAAAGGUACGUUUAUUCCUACUACUUUUGUUUUAAUUAUAUUCAUGUUAUAGUAGUUUUUUGAUUUAUAAAAAGUGACGUUAAAACAUGAAUUGGCCUCUGACUAACAUAAAGUGUGCGAAAAGUGUGUAAGGGUCUUCAAACCAUAAAAAUCGUGUCAAAGGUGUGUACUUGAUCUAAUGAAAUGCUACUGCAGAAAGGAAAUAAUUAUACACACACACACUAGAACCGGUUGUUGUUUAUAUCGAUCUAUUUUUACAUUUCAAUGUCGGAUAUGAUCUGAUAUGUUUCCAAAUGAUUAAACUAAUUAGUUGUGUGCCUGUGUUACUUUCUGUUCAAUUUGGUUAUGUACAUAUUUUAAUGCACUCAUUUUAACUGGAUUAUCGCCACACCAUUUGUACAACUACACUUCCCUAUUUCUUCCCCUUUUUUGUUUCAGUCAUCUUACAAUCACCAACUCUAAUUCUCAAUUGUUAUGAUUUGUUGAUGAUUUUGAGGAGGUAAUUGACCGGUUAAAGGAGUCGUUGAUUAGAAUUGUGAACAUGAUGAAGAUCACCAGUGUAGCGGCAUUGUGGAAGUCACUGCACUUAGUUUUAUCGUCGGUGAAUCAUGAGGUUAGGUUAGGGUUGCGACAUUGUUGGCGGACAUUGUGGCAUUGAGUUUCAGUACAUACGAUUGCGGAAGUUUUUCCGGUGCUGGCUGUUCUCCCGAUCUCGCUGUUCACUACAUAAAUCCGGUUUGUUUUUUUUUGAUAAUUUAUAAUAAUAAUAAUUGUCUCGAACGCUCGAUUACAAAGUCACAUACUGAAUUAUUUAGCUUAUUAUUCGUUUAUUGUUGUAGGAUUCUUAUAUUAGUAUGCUCGAUCAUGUUGAUGGUAGUUAGGUGGAUGAAACACUUCUGUUCAUUUGUGUUUGAUUUGGGAAAAGCCAAUUAAGCAUCAAAGAAUAGAUGUAAAAGUUGCAUCGAAUAUCAAGAACUAACUUAUUUUGCAAUAGGUGCUAGGUGCAAGAUUUGUUAUUUAUUUCAUCAGUCAAAAUUAGAUCUUUUCACAUUAGUUCAUAAAUGAGUUUGUUGACUCACUGUUUGGAUUACAGGAUAACUUGAGUUAUUUAGUGAAACAUACAUAAAUCUGUUUUGAUAUCUUAAGUGCUUUUAUUAUAUUAUAAUAUAAUGGUAGGAAAAUGCAUUUGUUAUUUUUCAACAGGUUAAAGAUUUUUUACCCGCUAUUAAAAAGGUAUGCCUUUUUGGAAUUCAGAUUUUAGUUUGGAUCUUGGGUCUUCUGUAUUUUUGUAGACGUAGGUGUAUUAAGGUUUAAACGCAUAAGCAAAACUAAAAAUAAUGAUAGUUGAAUGAAGAAGACUGAAUAUAUAAACAACCAAAUAAUGAAUGGCAGAACAAGCGAAUUUUAAAAGUUAAUUUUGUAGGUUUAGUACUUGAACAAGUCUAAUUUUAUUAAGCAAACACAUCCGUGAUGGACCUACGUGUGUUUCUAACCAGGGGCGGUUCUUAGAAGGCCUAUGGCAGGGCCACGGCCCGGGCAAGUUUUUCGGCCGUAGUGCUAAUUUUCCGCAUUUCGAUCGAAAUUUUUUAUAUAUACUAUGUUUGGCCCGGGCUUUUUUUAGUGCCGGUGUCUUUCGGCCCUGGCACGUUCAACGGGCAAGAUCCGCCACUGUUUCUAAUGAACAUGAUAUCUGAUUUUUAAACAUGUUAGUUGUUUAAACCAUCUAAAGUUCUUUCAGAUUUAUGUUUAUAUGUUCCUUUUUUAUUUUUAUUUUUUAUUGAACAAGGAUUUGAAACAUAAUAUUACCCAGUUCGUGAUUGCUUAUAAGUUAUAUUAAAUUUUACAACUGAAAACUCAAAAUUAGCAUUGCAAUAUUGAAAAUAUAAAGAUAGUUAAAAAAAUAAUUUUCCAAGAGAGAAACAUCGUUUUCACUUCUUCCAUUAUUCUUUGUUCUCUUUCCUUUUGUGUGCUUGCUUUUCAAGACCCUAAUGGUCAAACUAACCAUCUUUAUAUGUAAGAAUAACAAUAUACGAUCAAAUUUUCCAAAAUUAAAGGUGAAUAUGUCUUUAAAUGCUAACAAACAUUGAAUGGAAGAAGAAUUUGAGUCUAACAUGUAAGUUUUUAUCACUAUUUUUGCUUAUUGCAUAUACAACUUUGACUAUGCAAAGUCAAAGAUUACACAAUGGUAAUCAUGCAUGUUUUACUAAUUUCUUUUUCAUAUUGAAUAGAAGUUAAUGGAAGAUUCUCUUCUAAAAUGGCUACAGUUACUCAAGAGUUGCUCAAGGCCUAAAUGAAGUGGAAUGUUUUAUUUUCUAUUAUAAUAAUUAUAAUUUCUAUGAGAUCUCACUGGUGGACAGUUAAUGUCGUUUCGUCUUUUCUUUGAUCCCCUUCAUGAGUUAAUUCUAGAGAUUGAGCUUGAUGGGCCUUUUCAUUUGCCAACGACGGCAACAGAGCCUUUUGGAUGUUCUUAUGCAGUGCUUUUUCAUUUGCCAGCGACGGCAACAGAGCUACAAAGACAACUGGCAUGUUUAUUCAGUCAGGUUUGGUUUUUGGUAGAUCGGGUCUCUAAAAUUUUGAUAUUAAAUUCGAGUGCUGACCGGUAUGGUUUUUUAGUUAGCUUUUUGGAUGUGGUUGUGUGACUGAAUAAGAUAAUCAAUCAUCACAAACCAGUUAUCCUGCACAAUCCAAAAUUUAUUUUUUCAACAAAUAGUGUAUGAACUGGGGAACAAAAUGGUUCAAAUAUUUAGUGGUUCUCAGUUGUAAACCCCCCCCCCCCCCCGCACCAAACACACACAUAUUUUUUGAUGUCUUUUUACCCAGUGGCGGAGGUUGAAUGAAAACUCGACGGGGGCCGGACUCUUAAAAUCAAAAUCGGUGGUGGCCGGGAUCUUAAUAGUCCAAUAUUUUAUACUACAAAGAAUUUUUUCGGCAUUUUUCGGUUAAAUUUAACACUACGAGCGAAAAACGACAGGGGCGGGGACAUCCCCUGACCCUAAAGAAGCUCCGCCGAUGUUUGUACUUAGCCUAACUUUUCUUACAAGCUGAUAAACUUUGUAUGCAAUCACAAAAUAAGAUUUGGUAACAAUAGUAUGCAAUCACAGCAUUCUAUAUAGUUGCUACAUCAUAUAACUUUCUGACUAAAUAAUAAUGUUAAUAUAGUAUUAAAGCCCAGAGGUCGUAAUCAUGGAUUAACUGGGCAGAAAAGACAGGAUAAACCAAAGAAGCUUUUGAGUUAUUUGAUACUGAUGAAUCUGUUAUUUGCAUCAAUGGAUAUCGACGAGAAUAUGCGAGCCGUACUGAUUGACUGGCUCAUUUAAGUAACUUCAGCUGGAAAUCUUGCUGUGGUGCUCCAGGGGUAUCUUCGUCAUUUCAGGUUGGGUAAUGAGUUAUCUGUGUGUGCAGCGAGACGUUUGGGGUUUCUUAGCCUUUGUUAUAUCCACAGUGGUUGCUGCAAGAUUCUCGCCCUGCUCAUUAUUCAUAUAGGCGUUAUGUUUGGUCAUCCGGGAUUGCUGGGUGGAUUUCAGGUUGGGACAUACGGGGCUGUGAGGAGACCUGUAUUGGGCGGCUGGGCUGGGAUUUUAAUCAUCUGUUGAAUGCCCGAGCUUGGUCGGAGUUAUGUUUGUUUUGUGCUAUUGAGAUGGAGCCCACUUUAAGCUUUAUGGCCCAGAUUAAUUACAAAAUUUGGAUGCACGAGGCCUGUUAUGCUGGUGCAUCCUGGGCUGUCUGGCUAUGCUUAUGGUCAGGCUGAUGAUUGUCAAGAUGACCCACCGCUAGGUUUGCAAAAUGGUGUUCAAGACUCAGAUGCAUGAUGGUGUUGAGAAGCCGCGCAAUAUGGCAAAGGUCAUUAACUUAAGGUGGGUUGGUAGUAAGUGGGCUCGCCAUUUCAAUGCUCAAAACGAUAAAAAUAGAUUCGCCCGGUUAGCAAUGGAAGUUCGUUACCUGGUGUCGACAUGAUAGACAACUGCUUUGAAUAGAGAUUCAUCUGCUUAAUAGGUUGUGGGAGUUGAGUAAAGAACAAUGGGACGCCAUUUGGUUGUGGUUCUGGUGCAGAGUACACAUAUAGUGAAAAAGUGGUGUUGCAUGAAUAAUUUAAAUGUAAAUGUAAAAUGUGUUUGUAGAUUUUGUAAUUGCAGUUAUUGUUAUAUGAUGACUUAAUAACAUAAGUUUUUAUUGUGCGGACCGACCUGAACCGAAACCCGAGUCAGUGAAAUUUCCAGAA